AAUUUUAAAGUUUUAGGGGGAUAGGCUAGGCUUUAAGGGUUUAAAUUUAAAGUGCUUAUGAUUUUUAUGAAAUUU
rnacentral:tRNA from 1 species